rnacentral:rRNA from 1 species
GACGAACGCUGGCGGCGUGCUUAACACAUGCAAGCCGAACGAAGAGCGAUGGAAGCUUGCUUCUAUCAAUCUUAGUGGCGAACGGGUGAGUAACGCGUAAUCAACCUGCCCUUCAGAGGGGGACAACAGUUGGAAACGACUGCUAAUACCGCAUACGAUCUAAACUCGGCAUCGAGGAUAGAUGAAAGGUGGCCUCUACAUGUAAGCUAUCACUGAAGGAGGGGAUUGCGUCUGAUUAGCUAGUUGGAGGGGUAACGGCCCACCAAGGCGAUGAUCAGUAGCCGGUCUGAGAGGAUGAACGGCCACAUUGGGACUGAGACACGGCCCAGACUCCUACGGGAGGCAGCAGUGGGGAAUCUUCCGCAAUGGACGAAAGUCUGACGGAGCAACGCCGCGUGAGUGAUGACGGCCUUCGGGUUGUAAAGCUCUGUUAAUCGGGACGAAAGGCCUUCUUGCGAAUAGUGAGAAGGAUGAC